AGAGUUUGAUCAUGGCUCAGGAUGAACGCUGGCGGCGUGCCUAACACAUGCAAGUCGAGCGAUUCUCUUCGGAGGAGAGCGGCGGACGGGUGAGUAACGCGUGGGUAACCUGCCCUGUACACACGGAUAACAUACCGAAAGGUAUGCUAAUACGAGAUAAUAUGCUUUUAUCGCAUGGUAGAAGUAUCAAAGCUUUUGCGGUACAGGAUGGACCCGCGUCUGAUUAGCUAGUUGGUAAGGUAACGGCUUACCAAGGCGACGAUCAGUAGCCGACCUGAGAGGGUGAUCGGCCACAUUGGAACUGAGACACGGUCCAAACUCCUACGGGAGGCAGCAGUGGGGAAUAUUGCACAAUGGGCGAAAGCCUGAUGCAGCAACGCCGCGUGAGCGAUGAAGGCCUUCGGGUCGUAAAGCUCUGUCCUCAAGGAAGAUAAUGGCGGUACUUGAGGAGGAAGCCCCGGCUAACUACGUGCCAGCAGCCGCGGUAAUACGUAGGGGGCUAGCGUUAUCCGGAAUUACUGGGCGUAAAGGGUGCGUAGGUGGUUUCUUAAGUCAGAGGUGAAAGGCUACGGCUCAACCGUAGUAAGCCUUUGAAACUGGGAAACUUGAGUGCAGGAGAGGAGAGUGGAAUUCCUAGUGUAGCGGUGAAAUGCGUAGAUAUUAGGAGGAACACCAGUUGCGAAGGCGGCUCUCUGGACUGUAACUGACACUGAGGCACGAAAGCGUGGGGAGCAAACAGGAUUAGAUACCCUGGUAGUCCACGCCGUAAACGAUGAGUACUAGCUGUCGGAGGUUACCCCCUUCGGUGGCGCAGCUAACGCAUUAAGUACUCCGCCUGGGAAGUACGCUCGCAAGAGUGAAACUCAAAGGAAUUGACGG
rnacentral:rRNA from 1 species